rnacentral:tRNA from 1 species
GACCGCUUGGCGCAAUGGUAGCGCGUUCGACUCCAGAUCGAAAGGUUCAGCGUUCGAUCCGCUCAGUGGUCA